rnacentral:rRNA from 1 species
GAGUGAAGAAGCCCUUCGGGUUGUAAAGCUCUUUCAGUGAGGAAGAUAAUGACGGUACUCACAGAAGAAGUCCUGGCUAACUCCGUGCCAGCAGCCGCGGUAAUACGGAGAGGGCUAGCGUUAUUCGGAAUCAUUGGGCGUAAAGGGCGCGUAGGCGGAUUAGUAAGUUAAAAGUGAAAUCCCAGGGCUUAACCUUGGAACUGCUUUUAAAACUGCUUAUCUAGAGAUUGAAAGAGGAUAGAGGAAUUCCUAGUGUAGAGGUGAAAUUCGUAAAUAU